rnacentral:rRNA from 1 species
GACGAACGCUGGCGGCGUGCUUAACACAUGCAAGUCGAACGGAAAGGCCCUGCUUUUGUGGGGUGCUCGAGUGGCGAACGGGUGAGUAACACGUGAGUAACCUGCCCUUGACUUUGGGAUAACUUCAGGAAACUGGGGCUAAUACCGGAUAGGAGCUCCUGCUGCAUGGUGGGGGUUGGAAAGUUUCGGCGGUUGGGGAUGGACUCGCGGCUUAUCAGCUUGUUGGUGGGGUAGUGGCUUACCAAGGCUUUGACGGGUAGCCGGCCUGAGAGGGUGACCGGCCACAUUGGGACUGAUAUACGGCCCAGACUCCGACGGGAGGCAGCAGUGGGGAAUAUUGCACAAUGGGCGGAAGCCUGAUGCAGCAACGCCGCGUGCGGGAUGACGGCCUUCGGGUUGUAAACCGCUUUCGCCUGUGACGAAGCGUGAGUGACGGUAAUGGGUAAAGAAGCACCGGCUAACUACGUG